rfam:Fusarium langsethiae strain Fl201059 Fl201059_contig16, whole genome shotgun sequence.
CUUCAAGAUGAGGUAAUUUGCGAUUGAUUCUACCGGAUGGCUCUCUUUCGCCGGAGUAGCUAAAUCGGGUGGACAACUGAUAUUCAAUUCUUACAUAUUCUGAAA